rnacentral:rRNA from 1 species
UGCAGUCGAGGGGUAUAAGUCUUCGGAUUUAGAGACCGGCGCACGGGUGCGUAACGCGUAUGCAAUCUACCUUUUACAGAGGGAUAGCCCAGAGAAAUUUGGAUUAAUACCUCAUAGUAUAGCUGAACCGCAUGGUUCUACUAUUAAAGUCACAACGGUAAAAGAUGAGCAUGCGUCCCAUUAGCUUGUUGGUAAGGUAACGGCUUACCAAGGCUACGAUGGGUAGGGGUCCUGAGAGGGAGAUCCCCCACACUGGUACUGAGACACGGACCAGACUCCUACGGGAGGCAGCAGUGAGGAAUAUUGGUCAAUGGACGCAAGUCUGAACCAGCCAUGCCGCGUGCAGGAUGACGGUCCUAUGGAUUGUAAACUGCUUUUGCACAGGAAGAAACAACAUUACGUGUAAUGUCUUGACGGUACUGUGAGAAUAAGGAUCGGCUAACUCCGUGCCAGCAGCCGCGGUAAUACGGAGGAUCCAAGCGUUAUCCGGAAUCAUUGGGUUUAAAGGGUCCGUAGGCGGUUUAGUAAGUCAGUGGUGAAAGCCCAUCGCUCAACGGUGGAACGGCCAUUGAUACUGCUAAACUUGAAUUAUUAGGAAGUAACUAGAAUAUGUAGUGUAGCGGUGAAAUGCUUAGAGAUUACAUGGAAUACCAAUUGCGAAGGCAGGUUACUACUAAUGGAUUGACGCUGAUGGACGAAAGCGUGGGUAGCGAACAGGAUUAGAUACCCUGGUAGUCCACGCCGUAAACGAUGGAUACUAGCUGUUGGGAGCAAUCUCAGUGGCUAAGCGAAAGUGAUAAGUAUCCCACCUGGGGAGUACGUUCGCA